AGUCGAGCGGCAGCGCGGGGGCAACCCUGGCGGCGAGCGGCGGACGGGUGAGGAAUUCGUCGGAAUCUGCCUUUUUGUGGGGGAUAACGUAGGGAAACUUACGCUAAUACCGCAUACGACCUACGGGUGAAAGUGGGGGACCGCAAGGCCUCACGCAGAAAGAUGAGCCGACGACCGAUUAGCUAGUUGGUAGGGUAAAGGCCUACCAAGGCGACGAUCGGUAGCUGGUCUGAGAGGAUGAUCAGCCACACUGGGACUGAGACACGGCCCAGACUCCUACGGGAGGCAGCAGUGGGGAAUAUUGGACAAUGGGCGCAAGCCUGAUCCAGCCAUGCCGCGUGUGUGAAGAAGGCCUUCGGGUUGUAAAGCACUUUUGUCCGGAAAGAAAUCUUCCAACUUAAUACGUUGGGAGGAUGACGGUACCGGAAGAAUAAGCACCGGCUAACUUCGUGCCAGCAGCCGCGGUAAUACGAAGGGUGCAAGCGUUACUCGGAAUUACUGGGCGUAAAGCGUGCGUAGGCGGUUCGUUAAGUCUGACGUGAAAUCCCCGGGCUCAACCUGGGACGUGCGUUGGAAACUGGCGAUCUAGAGUACGGUAGAGGGUGGUGGAAUUCCCGGUGUAGCAGUGAAAUGCGUAGAGAUCGGGAGGAACACUCGUGGCGAAGGCGGCCACCUGGACCAGUACUGACGCUGANGCACGAAAGCGUGGGGAGCAAACAGGAUUAGAUACCCUNNAGUCCACGCCCUAAACGAUGCGAACUGGAUGUUGGGCUCACUUCGGAGCUCAGUAUCGAAGCUAACGCGUUAAGUUCGCCGCCUGGGGAGUACGGUCGCAAGACUGAAACUCANNGGAAUUGACGGGGGCCCGCACAGCGGNGGANU
rnacentral:rRNA from 1 species